rnacentral:rRNA from 1 species
AUUGAACGCUGGCGGCAUGCUUUACACAUGCAAGUCGAACGGCAGCGCGGGCUUCGGCCUGGCGGCGAGUGGCGAACGGGUGAGUAAUGCAUCGGAACGUGCCCAGUAGUGGGGGAUAGCCCGGCGAAAGCCGGAUUAAUACCGCAUACGACCUGAGGGUGAAAGCUGGGGACCGAAAGGCCUCGCGCUCUUGGAGCGGCCGAUGUCGGAUUAGCUAGUUGGUGGGGUAAAGGCUUACCAAGGCGACGAUCCGUAGCUGGUCUGAGAGGACGACCAGCCACACUGGGACUGAGACACGGCCCAGACUCCUACGGGAGGCAGCAGUGGGGAAUGUUGGGCAAUGGGGGCAACCCUGAUCCAGCCGUGCCGCGUGCGGGAAGGAGGCCUUCGGGUUGUAAACCGCUUUUGUUCGGGAAGAAAUCCUCUGGGCUAAUACCCCGGGGGGAUGACGGUACCGGAAGAAUAAGCACCGGCUAACUACGUG